UAUUUACACAUAAAAGCUGACCAUGACCACCAUAAAUGCCCCUGUGUGUCUCCUUGCUCGGAAUGAGUUUUAUCGGAGCAUCUGCCCGACAGACAAAAUGAAGGCAGUCAGUAGUCUUUCUGAUAACUUAAUGGAACCAAAGCAAAGACAAGUGACUGUCUGGGUGACCAAAUCCAAGCACCAAGGUUUAGGGUCUAUGAGUGAUGGCUGGACAAUAAAUGUGGUUUUAAAGAGCCCGGCAUCCAGCGGAACCUCUUCCAAAUGACAAAGUCCUGCUGAUCGUGUGGUGAAGUAGACAUCUGCACAAGAAUAGCGUAUAGAGCUCUGGAAAAAAAAUGCUUCUCUACAGACACAAUAUGUGAAUGUGCUGCUUAAAAGUGCUGUUCCAAUAAUUAUUCUAUUCUUCUUUUUAGAGAUAGAGAUCUUUUUCAUGCUAGAGAAUAAUUAUUUUUAGUUUAUACGCUAUCGUUCAGACUUUUGGGGUUAUUAAGUCUCUUCUGUUCACCAAG